rnacentral:rRNA from 1 species
AGAGUUUGAUCAUGGCUCAGGAUGAACGCUAGCUACAGGCUUAACACAUGCAAGUCGAGGGGAAACGAUAUUGGAAGCUUGCUUCGUGAUAGGCGUCGACCGGCGUACGGGUGAGUAACGCGUAUCCAACCUGCCCACCACUUGGGGAUAACCUUGCGAAAGUAAGACUAAUACCCAAUGACGUCUCUAGAAGACAUCUGAAAGAGGUUAAAGAUUUAUUGGUGAUGGAUGGGGAUGCGUCUGAUUAGCUUGUUGGCGGGGUAACGGCCCACCAAGGCGACGAUCAGUAGGGGUUCUGAGAGGAAGGCCCCCCACAUUGGAACUGAGACACGGUCCAAACUCCUACGGGAGGCAGCA